rnacentral:tRNA from 1 species
GGGCAUUUAGCUCAGUUGGUUAGAGCGCUACACUCACAUUGUAGAGGUCAGAGGUUCAAGUCCUCUAAUGCCCA